rnacentral:piRNA from 1 species
UGACAUUAGAGGCUGCCCA